AUAUAAACCCAAGGCACAAUCAUAUACCCAGGGAUACAAGACACUGCAGACUCCCGAGAGACACGACACAGAAUUGCACCAUGCCAAACUACAAACUCACUUAUUUUAAUAUGAGGGGGAGAGCAGAAAUUAUUCGUUACAUAUUUGCUUAUUUGGACAUACAGUAUGAAGACCACAGACUAGAACAAGCUGACUGGCCUGAAAUCAAAUCAACUCUCCCAUUUGGAAAAAUCCCCAUUUUGGAAGUUGAUGGACUUACCCUUCACCAGAGCCUAGCAAUAGCAAGAUAUUUGACCAAAAACACAGAUUUGGCUGGAAGCACAGAAAUGGAACAAUGUCAUGUUGAUGCUAUCGUGGACACACUGGAUGAUUUCAUGUCAUGUUUUCCUUGGGCAGAGAAAAAGCAAGAUGUGAAAACUGAAAUAAUUCACCAAACUUACAAAGAGAAUCUGGACUCAAGGAGAAGUCAAUAGCACAGAUGUAAGAGUUUUAUUUGACUCUGCAUGUACACAAACACUGGUGCACCUGAAGCUCUGGAAAUGCACGUUAGAAGAACAGAAUUUGCCAGGAGUGCA
rnacentral:sRNA from 1 species